UACGGAGGGUGCAAGCGUUAUCCGGAUUCACUGGGUUUAAAGGGCUCGUAGGCGGCCAACUAAGUCGGAUGUGAAAUCCCCAGGCUUAACCUGGGAACUGCAUCCGAUACUGGAUGGCUUGAAUCCGGGAGAGGGAUGCAGAAUUCCAGGUGUAGCGGUGAAAUGCGUAGAUAUGCGGAGGAACACCGAUGGCGAAGGCAAUCCCCUGGGCCUGCACUGACGCUCAUGCACGAAAGCGUGGGGAGCAAACAGG
rnacentral:rRNA from 1 species